GAGAAAUUGAAAACAAACCAUCCUGCUGAGGAUUCACAACAAUAUGUGAUGAGCUGCUGAAGCAAGACCAUUUCAGGAACCCCGGCACUGAAAAAACUGAUUUAAUUUCGACGGAGAGGAGGGAAAGAGUGCAGGAAAAACUGAAAGCGAGAGAGAAAGCACGUCUUACAUACAGAGAAAUCCUUCAAAGGGUAAUAGAUAAACCUCUUCUUCUACCUCCCCACUGUACAACAGUCUCUGAACAUACUGUGUUCCAAGCUGUUUACCUUUAGUCUGUGUAAUUCCAAAUCCAUUCGGGAGGAGAGGUGCGCAGCUGGCUUUCACUGAUCUUGAUUCUUUCUUGUACUCUACGUGCUUUACAGUCCCAUGGGGGAAUUUCAGGGAGCUGUUAAAUUUGUGAGAGCCCUUUGAUCCAUGAGAUUUCGUUCAGCUUCUCAAUUUUAACAUUCAUUUCAGAUUAGUACUCUGCUAUUUAAUUAAAAAAACAAUGCAAAUAUCAGCAGAAGUGAGCAGUUGCAGUAGAGUUGAUCACAUUUUUAACACUCUGCCUGCGAAGAGUUUAUUGCCUUUUUAAUUAAUCAUUGCUUGCUAUUUCUAUUGAGACUGAUUCUUUAGCUAACUUUAGUUGAACAAGAUGGAUUAUAUCACUGCGAGUGACAGAUUUUCUGAAUGUAAUCUGUCUGUUCGUUCAGAUGAGCAGAUGUGAGCCGCUCUCCCUCAAUCUGCAGCUUAAAUUCAGGAUCUCUUAGGAGCCUUUCAACUCAUGCUGUUUCCGACUUGGCAGUGUGUUGAGGCCAAG
rnacentral:lncRNA from 12 species